CGAACAGGAAAACAAAGUAAUGCGGUCUACUUCACUAGGUAGCUGCUCAGUCCAAGGUCUACAUAACUCCCAAAAAUAACUUUGUAGAUCUUUCUUUGUGAUCAAAUGGGAAGAGAGGUCUUGUCUUGUCAACUGUAUGACACCAACUUGAACAGAUGAUCAUCAGUUUAGUACUUUUCUGACAUUCCGAUGAACCGCUGAAGUCUGCUGUAUGUUAAAAGAAGACGUUGUGGAGUUAAUAUGUCGACGAGGUGAGCUUUCAAUAUUAGCCUAAUUUUCACGUUGGCUAAUAAAACCUUUCUUUGUGGCACAAGCCAUAACAACUGACUGGGCUGCUACAUCAUAUUAUACAUGUCUUUUACUUGUUUCAAGCAUGAUUUGUCAAAUCUUGUUUGCGGAAGAAAGCAGCUCUUAGGAUUUGAACCCACCUGUUGAAUGCGUCACCGCCUACGCACUUCACGGAACAGUUAUUUUCCUGGGUCCACACACCAAACUUGCAUAUAAGUAUUGGA